GACUGCGGAGAUCAUUAAAAAAUAAUCACAGUUUUGUGAUUUUAAUAAUCAUCCUACCCUUUGUGAAUUUGUUUUGUAAAGAAAAUUUAUGUUGUCUAUCCCUGGUGGUUUUUUGGAAAAGUUGAAAAACUUUUUCGAAUCCUCAGGGACUAGGCUUUCAUAGACCUUUUUUUAAAUUAAACUUUUUGUAUUCAUUUGUCUAAAAUUUAUUUUUAAUAAUUUAAAAACAACUUUUGACAAUGGAUCUCUUGGUUCUCGCAACGAUGAAGAACGCAGCAAAAUGCGAUAAGUAAUGUGAAUUGCAGAAUACGUGAAUCAUCAAAUCUUCGAACGCAUAUUGCACUUUUCUAGUUUACUAGAAAAGUAUGUCUGUUUGAGUAUCAGUAAAAUAUUCUCAUAAAAAACAUUGUUUUUUAUGGUUAUGAGUGUUUUACAACGAUAAACAAGUUGUUUCACUUUAAAUUGAUUUUUAAAAGCCAAUUUUUGGUUUUAUCUAAUAAAAUUGGAUAAAAUUUUCCCGUAAAAAGGAAUAACUUUUCAGUUUUAAUAGUUAAAACUUAAUUGUGCCUAAUUAAAAGGAAAUUUAACAAAAUAACUUGAUCUCAAAUCAGAUAAGAGUACCCGCUGAACUUAAGCAUAUCAAUAAGCGGAGAA
rnacentral:rRNA from 1 species